GAGCUCGAGAGUGAUUCAAUGAAAAGGUGUACGUUUGUUGUACUAGCUGCGACUUAGACAAGAAAAAAAGGACUGCACCGUGGUACUUAUAAUAUUAUUCGUUUUGGAUAUUCAUUCUUUGCCGGACCGGAACAACACGUCCUGGCCUUAGGUUUAAUUAUCGAGGACAUUCAACACGCAUUAAUUUUGGUCAUUGAAUAAUGGAUUUACAAGGCUCACCUCGGCUAACCCUGAUCUACCAUACCGGAUCCGCCUUUCUACUAAGUUGCCUCCUUUUGCCAGGCGUUCUCGGAUCCCUACUAGUCGCGGAUCCUGACCGUGGUCUGCCAUUACUUCUGUUAGCUCUUACUGCCGUCCAAGGUGUAACUCUUUGGUGGUUCAAUAACAACGUCGCGUCCAAUUUUAAUCCCAAACAAGUUUCGACGGAAACCUAUAGCCGCUGUGCAACAUUGUUCCUUUUGUCAAUAUUUGCGUUGCACGCCGCUUUGGUGCUUUUCGGCGCUCCUCUACUUGAAGACCUCCUUGAAACGUUCUACUUGGCUUGUGUCGUAGCGUUGCUUGCGUCACUGCCCAUUGCUGUGUGUACCGAGUGUACUGCGUUUGAAAUCGACAGGCUUUUCUUCCGAAGACGACCAGACAACGUAUGUGAACGUUCACUCCUUUACGUAGUAUCCUGUACCUUAAUGGGAUGUUGGUUAGGCGCGCUGCCAAUUCCAUUAGACUG
rnacentral:lncRNA from 1 species